GUACAAAUGAUGUGAAUACAACGGUAUGAGAAAAACAAUGAUACUGCAAAUGCUUUCUGAUGCA